rnacentral:rRNA from 1 species
AUUGAACGCUGGCGGCAUGCCUUACACAUGCAAGUCGAACGGCAGCACGGGAGCAAUCCUGGUGGCGAGUGGCGAACGGGUGAGUAAUAUAUCGGAACGUGCCCAGUCGUGGGGGAUAACGUAGCGAAAGCUACGCUAAUACCGCAUACGAUCUAUGGAUGAAAGCGGGGGAUCGCAAGACCUUGCGCGAUUGGAGCGGCCGAUAUCAGAUUAGGUAGUUGGUGAGGUAAAGGCUCACCAAGCCGACGAUCUGUAGCUGGUCUGAGAGGACGACCAGCCACACUGGAACUGAGACACGGUCCAGACUCCUACGGGAGGCAGCAGUGGGGAAUUUUGGACAAUGGGCGCAAGCCUGAUCCAGCAAUGCCGCGUGCAGGAUGAAGGCCUUCGGGUCGUAAACUGCUUUUGUACGGAACGAAACGGUGAGCUCUAAUACAGUUUGCUAAUGACGGUACCGUAAGAAUAAGCACCGGCUAACUACGUGCCAGCCGCCGCCGUAA